GAUGAAGAACGUAGCGAAAUGCGAUACUUGGUGUGAAUUGCAGAAUCCCGUGAACCAUCGAGUCUUUGAACGCAAGUUGCGCCCGAAGCCAUUAGGCCGAGGGCACGCCUGCCUGGGCGUCACACGUCGUUGCCCCCCCAUCUACUCCUUCGGGAUUGCGGGGGGCGGAUGAUGGCCUCCCGUGCGCCUCGUCGCGCGGUUGGCAUAAAUGCCAAGUCCUCGGCGACGCACGCCACGACAAUCGGUGGUUGCGAAACCUCGGUUGCCCGUCGUGUGCGGUCGUCGCGCAUCGAGGGCUCGAAAAAAUUGCCGGGCUCCGGCUCGGCUUUCAACGCGACCCCAUGUCAGGCGGGGUUACCCGCUGAAUUUAAGCAUAUCAAUAAGCGGAGGA
rnacentral:misc_RNA from 1 species